UCCAGGAACCACAGGACCAACCAGUGGAGGAGGAGCUCUCUCCUGGGCAGGACACCUCUUCUCCAGAGGAUUCGCUGACCGUCCUGUUGGGCUCCAGGACCAGCAGCCUCUGUGAGGUGGACUCCCUUGCUGACCUCCUGGAGGAGGAAUCUGAGGAUAGCUGGGACCAGGAUGCAGAGGCCAGCUCCUCUUCCAGUCCAUGGGAUUCUCCAGAGGAAGAAGACACUCUGGAGGAUCUCAGCAGCCUGGAAGAGGACAUCCUGGACUCCCUGGACCGCCUUCUUA